AUGACUUCUCCAAAUUCUCUCUUGAUGUUGUCUUCCCUCUUCCCUGUAUUCACAGCUCCUCCCAGGAUCCUGCCCGCUUCAAACUGCAGCAGAAUUGCAGCCUGGGUGCGAUGUUCCUGCGACAGCGUGGGCAGACCAUCACCGUCUCUGGAGUGGAGGUUGGAUGGGAAACUGGUGUUGGGUUCUGAAGACGUGUCUGUUAGCCAGGUCAACCUGGAGAACGCCACGUUGAGGAGCUCCCUCAUAAUGAGGGCCCCUGCUGGUCUGACAGCCUUGACCUGCCACAGCUCCAACGCUGCCGGGAACACCAGCCAGGAGCUUCCUGUCCCCCACCUGGAUACACAGCCAACCCUGACAGACCAACUGCCCUGGAUAGCUGCUAUAGCAGUGCUAGCCGCGGUUCUGCUGUUUGCAACAGCGUGUGCCGUAAGAGCUUGGAAGAUGGCCAACCAAACAAGUCUCGGCAAGGAUGCUCUACUCAACAAAUCUCCACCUAACCAAGGGAAGCCCCAGGUAACCCUCCCCUUAUUUAUACCCAGGUUACCCUAUCUGAAAACAAUCUGUAGCCGGCUGACCCUAACACUAUAUUUACCAAGGUAACCCUAACCUUAUCUGUAAACAGGUUACCCUAAACCGACCCUAUGUUUACCAAGGUAACCCUAACCUUAUCUGUAAACAGGUUACCCUAACCCUAUGAUUAAAAAGGUAACCCUAACCUUAUCUGUAAAUGGGUUACCCUAACCCUAUGGUUACCAAGGUAACCCUAACCUUAUCUGUAAAUGGGUUACCCUAACCCGACCCUAUGUUUAUCCAGGUAACCCUAUCUCUGUCCCAUGGCCACCCUAAACUUAACCGGUUUUAACCAAGGAAACCAGGGUGUGAGUUACGUGGGAGUAGGAGUUGAGCUCCCAUAAGUCUGAGCUCCAAUGAAAUUAAUAAUGUGUGUGUGUGUGUGUGUGUGUGUGUGUGUGUGUGUGUGUGUGUGUGUGUGUGUGUGUGUGUGUGUGUGUGUGUGUGUGUGUGUGUGUGUGUGUGUGUGUGUGUGUGUGUGUGUGUGAAAGAAAAUUGUGGGACUGGGAGAAAAGGCUGCUGGACUGGGAGAAGAGGCUGUUGGACCGAGAGAGGAGGCUGUAACAGCAGCAGGUUCCUCAGCCUUGACCCAACGGGAUUCAGAAGAAGCAGCAGACCCAGCAGCAGACAGGCAGGUGGCAGACUGUGAUUCCUGUACACGAGAGUGAACUGGAAGAAGAAGUCCAAGAAAAAAGAGAUCUGAGCUCCUGGGGCAGAGACCCUCUGGGGCCCAGGGCCCCGGAGGCCCCUAGACUUCCUCUGGGGUGGAUGAGGGAUGAGCUAAGGGCCGGAGGGAUGAGUUAAGGGCUACAUUGAUGGGUAAAGGCUAGAGGGAUGAGUUAAGGGCUACAUUGAUGGGUAAAGGCUAGAGGGAUGAGUUAAGGGCUGCAGGGAUGAGUUAAGUGCUACAGGGAUGAGCAAAGGGCUAAAGGGAUGAGUAAGGGGCUUGACCAGGGGCCAUAUUCAUUCUUGAGACAAUGGAAUUGAUAAAGAGAUAUAGGCGUGAGGGUAUCAAACUUGUGUUGAAUUAGUGAAAAACAUUUCGCUAUUUAGCAACAGGGAAGAUGCAACUUUGCAAUGCCGACGAUUUAGGAAUAUCGCUGUUAAGGGAAAUGUAUAAAUAUGUCCUCAGUUGUUAGGCUAUGUAGCUUAAAUAAUGACAUAAUCAGGCCGUAUAGAAUGCAGCAUUUUUAAUAGCCAAACUUUCAAUAGAUGGGGAAAAACAUGAACGUCUUAACAUGAACGUCGCAAUAACGAGGCAUAGUGUUACGGGUAGCAUAUGUGUGUGCGCGAGUUCCCUUUCUGUCGAUUCACUCGGUACAACACAUUAGUAUGGGAUAUCACGCCCUCGCGUGGCUGACUGAAGACACCUCUAUUCACGCCUUAAAAAGGCAAAUGACCUGUGGUGACGUAUGUGAGGCCCCGCCCGCACAUAAAACACCGGUCACCACGGUCAUUUCUCAGUUCUUACACUCUUCACCUCGCUAGGAACACCUCGCUAACUCUACAGAGUCACUCAGGCUAGCUAGCUGCUGCUAGUUAGCUCUGUUGCCGUUUUAGCACCUUCGAACUAGCUAAACUGCUCUAUUGGUGUAGUGUUUUGCUGCCCGCGGAGCGCUUGUUUCGUAUUUUUCUGCUAU
ensembl:lncRNA